UGUAGAACCCGAAUCUCGCCACAGACAUAGCAAGGGUCGACACCUCAAGGAUCGCAAAGAUAGGAGGUCAGAGAAGAAAAGAGAUGCUGAUUACAGUGAUCAUGAUGACAGGAAGAAAAGGAAAGUUGAGAAGAGCAGGGAUGUUGAGGAGGGUGAAAUUGAAGACCAACGAGAAAGAGUAGCGAAGAGACGACAUGACGUAGAGAGUGAUAUUGAAGAUCGGAGAGGAAAAAGAUCCGAGAAGAGGAGACAUGAUGUGGACAGUGACCUUGAAGAUCAGAGAGAAAAAAGACCCGAGAAGAGGGGACAUGAUGUGGACAGUGACCUUGAUGAUCGGAGAGAAAUAAGAUCCGAGAAGAGAAGACAUGAUGUGGACAGUGACCUUGAUGAUCGGAGAGAAAUAAGAUCCGAGAAGAGAAGACAUGAAGUGGACAAUGACCUUGAAGAUCAGAGAGAUAAAAGAUCCGAGAAGAGAAGGGACGUUGAGAACAGUGAUUUCGAAGAUCUAAGGGACAAGAGAGUCGAGAGUACAAUGUCACGGAUGGAAGACAGUGAAGAUGGUGAUGAAAGGCAUCGUAGGAAGGAUCGG
rnacentral:lncRNA from 1 species